rnacentral:rRNA from 1 species
CCUACGGGUGGCAGCAGUGAGGAAUAUUGGUCAAUGGACGAGAGUCUGAACCAGCCAAGUAGCGUGAAGGAUGACUGCCCUAUGGGUUGUAAACUUCUUUUAUAAAGGAAUAAAACGAGGCACGUGUGCCUUUUUGCAUGUACUUUACGAAUAAGGAACGGCUAACUUCGUUCCAGCAGCCGCGGUAAUACGGAGGAUGCGAUCGUUAUCCGGAUUUAUUGGGCUUAAAGGGAGCGUAGAGGGGUUGUUAAGUCAGUUGUGAAAGCUUGCGGCUCAACCGUAAAAUUGCAAUUGAUACUGGCAGACUUGAGUACAGUAGAGGUAGGCGGAAUUCGAGGUGUAGCGGUGAAAUGCUUAGAUAUCACGAAGAACACCGAUUGCGAAGGCAGCUAACUAACAUGUGACUGACAUUGAUGCGCGAAAGUGUGGGUAUCAAACAGGAUUAGAUACCCUUGUAGUC